AUUUUCAAAUUCGAAAAGAAGAAGAACAGCAUGAUUUUCGAUUUGGUGACCGUAUUACUUAUAGAUUAUUAUACAUUACAUAACCUUACACAAUCAAUUUACUUUUUAUGAUUAUUCUGAUGAACGUGCCCCAUAUAUUUUAUUCCCAAAACCUUUAAUAUAAAAAGGAGGUGUCCGGGUCAGGUCGUGCAAACCCAAUAACAAACUGCGCUGAAGUUUUUAAGAUUAUUGGAUAAUUGACUUGUUCUACAUGUACCUAACUUACCAGGUGACAAUACAAGUUGUACCCUUGAUAUUGGUAUAAAUUCAAAUGCUUAGUGAUAUACAAAAAAAGAAGAUGUGGUAUGAUUGCCAUUAUGGACUUUCCUCAUUGUUGAAGGUUUGUACAGUGAUCUAUAGUUGUUUUAAAAUGUAUGUGUCAGUUGAGUCCCUUGUGGAUAGUUGUCUCAUUGGGCCAAUGGGACAACUGUCCACAAGAGACCAGUUGUCUCAUUGGGCCAAUGGGACAACUGUCCACAAGAGACCAAAAUGGCCAAUGAGACAAAUGUCCACAAGAGACCAAAAUGACCCAGACAUUAACAAAGUUGUACAGGUCACCAUACAGCCUUCAACAAUGAGCAAAGCCCAUAAGGCAUAGUCAGCUAUAACAGGCCCCGUUAAGACAAUGUAAAACAGUUCAAACGAGAAAACUUAAGAUAUGUGCAUUGUUCAUAUUGUAUAUGAAGAUUAAUAAGAUUAAAGUAAACAAUUUGGUAUGUUUCCAAAAUAAAAGCUAUCGACCAAUGACCAACUGAUGUACAAAUGUUACAUACAUGUUGGUCACCAUACUUCCUUCAUUUAUAUUAAGACUAUUGAGUAAAUUUGUGCAAUCAUUUCAAACCUGUACAUGUACAUACUGUUAAUAUAAAUUUAUACAUGUAUAUAUAUAGGCUCCGUGUUGAAGGCCGUACUUUAACCUAUAAUGGUUUUAUUUUUAAAUUGUUAUUUGGAUGGAGAGUUGUCUCAUUGGCACUCACACCACAUCUUCCUAUAUCUAUAUACAUAUUAUUACAGUUCAGUGACUCAAGUUUAAAAUACAUAAGCUUAAGGUCAUAACAGAAUUUAAACUUACUAUCAUAUUUGUAUGAACAUCAUGAUGAAUAUUAACAUUCUCUUAAAGAGUUUUAAUUUUACUUAGCUAAUACAGAAGAUGAUGGAUUCCCCAACAGAAAUCUUCAUGUCGGACGGAUCAAGGUGAAAAAAUUGAAGAAUUGCAUCAAUUGUUACAGGGAAUCAAUUUGCAAGCAGAAACAGGUGCUCAAAGAUAAGGGAAUACAACAGCCAGCCAUGCUCCUUCACAUGUAAAGUAAGCAGCUGUUCGUGAUGCUUAUAGGCAUACACAAUCUAGUCUGGGCAUGUAAAACAGCAGCUUGUUCUAUUUUGAAAAUCGACAAAAUAGAGCUAAGGUCCUUUAAGCCAAGAAACUGCUAGUGUCUGAAGAGGACAAUGAAUCUUAGACAGGCCAUGAAAAUUGAUUUAAUGUCAAGUGACAGUGAUUCUGUAAAUAAACUCGCCUGAUCACAAGACCUUCGAUUUGACUGUCACAAGAUUUUAAAUCUUACAUGGAUAGACUAAAGUCAUUUACUAGACUGUGAAUACUAGACUUUCCGAUGAAGCCGACACAGUGUCAGACCAACUAAAUGCAUAGAAGAAUAAAAACGCUGCUACACGAGGACCAAGAAUGCACAAGGCACAAAGCUGAGGUCUAAGUAAAUCGAGAGAGGCCUUGUCACAAGAAAUGUACAGAACUUGCAUGUUUUUUUUCGUUAAGGGCAUAUGACAAAAAUUGAGAGAUAUCAAUGAAAAUUUCUUUGAAUUUAAAAAAGGGCCAAUUCAAAGGUACACUUUUGGAAUUUGCAAGAACAAAAAUACCUUCAUGUUUACUAUGUUUACUUUUGAAUAAAAUGUAUAGUUGACAAUCUUCACUUUAAGGGGAACCUCUGAAAAUAAGUCAAAUGGAGGGGUUUGGUUUAUUGAAUUCGAUUAUUUUUUAAAGUAAAACAGAUGAAUUAUUGCUCUUUAAUUUCAACAUUUGCAUUUUACUAUUAAAAUUAUUUACAAACUUGUGCAACAUGUAUAUCAAUGACAUCAGAUUAUGUUAUUGUGUUUGGUUAAGCUACAUAUUUCUUUUUACUUAAACUUUCUGUUGCCUUUACUAGUUAAUAAAAUGCUGAAUAAAAAUUUGAGUGUGGCUCAUUCCAGUGUCUAGUAUUUGCUGUCAAUUUUUUUGAUGAUUUUACCAUAUUAUUUAUAAUAGCUUGGUCAAAGGGAGAUAACUUUUUGUAUUUUCACAUUAAAAUGCUGAAUAAUAAUUUGAGUGUGGCUCAUUUCAGUGUCUAGUAUUUGCUGUCAAUUUUUUUGAUGAUUUUACCAUAUUAUUUAUAAUAGCUUGGUCAAAGGGAGAUAACUUUUUGUAUUUUCACAUUAAAAUGCUGAAUAUAAUUUGAGUGUGGCUCAUUUCAGUGUCUAGUAUUUGCUGUCAAUUUUUUUGAUGAUUUUACCAUAUUAUUUAUAAUAGCUUGGUCAAAGGGAGAUAACUUUUUGUAUUUUCACAUUAAAAUGCUGAAUAAUAAUUUGAGUGUGGCUCAUUUCAGUGUCUAGUAUUUGCUGUCAAUUUUUUUGAUGAUUUUACCAUAUUAUUUAUAAUUGCUUGGUCAAAGGGAGAUAACUUUUUGUAUUUUCACAUUAAAUCAUCUGCAAAGAGGAUUAUGUAAAAUGUGAUUUGUUGAAAACUAAUUUUAUGGUUCAAUAAAAUCAAAAUAAAUUUCUAUCAAAAAUAAGGCUCAAAGAACUUUUUAUAUUACUAAUAUUAACAAUAACUAACAAUGUACACACAUGUUGACGUGUUAAUACACAAUGUCAGAGUGGGUAUAGGCGUCACCAUAAAAUGUAAACAUUGAAAAUAAAACUGAUACUUUUAACUUUAUAUAUAUAAGCAGGAGACAGUUAAUACACCAAAUAUAUUUUUAAACCUAUAAACUUAUUAUUUUCUUCAAUUGUUCAAGUUCAUUCAAUAUUGAUAAAUUUUUGCUUGACAUUACAUAAUUUUGUUGAUAAAAGUUUAUUUGUGUGCUAUUUUAUUUAAUUGUACAUUUUUGAAAUAUAACAUUACACCUUAUUAUUUUAAUUCUUGCAUACAGCAUUUGGAAGGAAAUCCCAUAACAUUUAAAUUAAAAUGUUCAAGCAGCAGGAUUGUUAUUGAAUUUAGCAAUUAUGUUAAUUAUGUAAAUAACGUAAUGUUUUUUGUUUUUUGCUUUUUGAAGUUUUUUGAAAUUGACAAAUAAUGCUAGCAAGGGACAUUAUUAUUAUUAAUAUUUUUAUGAUGCCAAACUUGAAAUUUUUAGGUGGCUAUGUUUGCUCUUUGUUAUAACCCUAUUGUUAUGAUUCUGUAACCAUCUAUACAAGUAAGCAUGUUGAUUUGUCACUUACCAUUAUUUUAUUGAUUAGUUUGAAUUUGAUGAGGUUCUUCGAUGUAAAACUGGACUUAUUUAAACAAAAAAUGUUUUGUUUUAUUUGUUUGAUAGUAAAAUUGUAUAACAAACAUUUGACAUUUUAUUUAAUUUAUCAUCAAAACAACUAUUUUGUCAGUAUCUGAAUAAAAUUAAUUUGUUAGAUACUUUAUUUCUUUUAUUGAAGUAUAUACAAAGGGAGAUAAUUCAAAAUUGUUUUUUAUUAUUCUGACCUGAUGAGAAGUCAUGAAAAUAACUAUG